UGUUCAAUGUUUUUAGUUUUACUCUCUCCUUGUGACGUCGUUAUGGUCAUGUGUGUCAGCUGUUUCUCCAUGUGUUCCCACUUCCCUCAUUAUCCUCCUGUGUGUAUUUAGUCCGUGUGCUUUCAGUCAUUCCUCGUCAGGUCGUCUGCUCAUCCACGCCACAACUUCAGAGAUGGAUUUUCAGAUUUAUUUUUAGAAAAAAGAGAUAAAUAUUUAAUCAGCUUGAGCAACCCACAGAGUGAGGACACCAUCUGCAAUUAGCUUCAAGGCUGUGACCCCAGCGACUUUGAUGUGGCAGAGGAUGGAUAGAGGGACGGAGGGACGGACAGAUGGACGAAUGGAUGGACGGAUGGAUGGACAGACUGACGGAGGAAUGGACGGACGAAUUGUUGAAAGGAUGGACGGAUAGACGGACGGACGGAUUGACGGAUGGUUGGAUGGACAGACGGAUGGAUGGAUGGAUGGAUGGGCGCACGGAUGGACAGAUGGAUGGAGGGACGGAUGGACGGAGGGACGGAUGGACAGAAAGACGGACGGAUAGAUGGACGGACGGACGGAUGGACGGACGGAUGGAUGGAUUUUUUCUGAGCAAUAACCUUUGUCCUAUAAUCAAACCUUGUAGUGGUUCCUCAUGAUGGAAUAGGGAGUACUCUGUGUUUUGUUUCUUCCCUUUAAUUUUUCUGUAUCUAGAUGACCGCCAAAGUCAGCUCUCACUGGAGAUCUGGGGGUCACAGUGUCACAAGUCUUUCAGUGUGAAAGAGAAUAUGCUGGUGAUAAGAAAGAAUGUAGUUCACACUGUGGUUAUUUGUUGUGACACAACCAAAUUAAAGCUGAGAUUUAGAACACAGUAGUUUCUGUAAAGUUGUUCAGUAACAGCAAGACCACAAAACUUUUAGACCUUCUCUUUCAACUAAACUUGUCUGAUUGCAGAAAACGAUUGAGUUUCGACUGGGUAUAAUGUGAUACAGAACACAGAGUUUUCUUUUUUCCUCCCCUGCCUGGGCAUCCGUUCUAAAAAUCGCAAUUACAGUUGUUCCUCUUUUCUCCUCCUGAAGGAUAUCCAAUUUUCUCUUCCUUAAAUAGUUUGUCCUCCAUUUUCCAGAGGAGACACUGUAAGAUUUUAGAAAUUGCUCUGAGACGCCGGGCUACUGCUCAUUCCUGUGAUCGAUGCAAUUCUACUUUUUUCCUGCUCAGCUUCUCAGAAUGUUAACAGUCUCACAUGGGCGUGACACUGUCCUUUCACUUCAGCCUCAACUCAAUCUACACCGAUGUUAUUCAAUCAGGGCUGCUUGUUUCUAUUUGUUGUCUGUAAGCAACUAAUCUUUAGUCCAAUAGGAGAUUGCUAUGAAAUGCCACUAACACAGAGCUGACAUUAUGAUGAGUCAUCUCCCAGUGAGGUGAGUAAUUCUCACCUCCUCGUCCUCUGUAUGCAGAUCUGCAGCAAUAUGACAAGUACAUGUUUGUACUGUGUUGAUGUGAUUGGCCUAAUGGCCUUUCAGCCAACCAUCACCUCUCAUCUGUCGCAUCGUGUCUGUUCUCCUUUUCUUGUUGUUGUUGUUGUCUUCACACCCACAUGCUGUCUUUCCAUCACAACCUCAGCCUCUCUGCUCUGCUUUCAAUUUCACUUUGAUUUUCUCCUCUCCUGGCUUGGCUACAGAUUCCUUCUUUUUUUUUAUCUGCAGGAACUAUUUGAUCUUUUAACAGAUUUUCUUUAUCUGUAUGACCUUGUGAUGGCUUUCCAGCAACACGUGUGGGAGUAUAUAGGGAGAACAAGGAGGGGGUUUUCUUUCUCUAUAAUUGGCCCGUGGAAAAAAAAAGCUCUGUCAGCUGGCCUGAGCCCUGAGAAGUAUAAUUCCUCCCACAAUUUCCUCCGUCCACUCAAAUACAAAAACAUUCAGCCCAUGUUCUCACAGUAAAUGUGACUUCAAGGGAUAAUGCUUCCUCCAUCAUUUUUCUGAAAGUGCCUCUUAAUUAUAACUUUGCUCUGGAUAAUGACUCUGAUAUCUGAAAUUGGAGUUCUUCGUUUCUUUUAUCCCAGAAUUUCACAGACUGUGGGAUGACAGUGUGUCACACGUACACUUUCUAACAGCUAAGCUUCGCCACAGGCUUUCCACUGAACAACUACCAGCUCCUUUGUCUAGAAGAAUAAUUAAAUCACAGCUCAAGGCCAAAUAAUCAUGAAUUUAACCGCUGCUGCUACUUGAACAAUAAUGAAUGACUGAGGUUAACGUUGCUCUGGUACUUGUGUCACCGUGUUUGGGUAUCUAAAAAAAGAGUUUCAAAAUAAAUA